rnacentral:rRNA from 1 species
UAGGGAAUCUUCGGCAAUGGACGAAAGUCUGACCGAGCAACGCCGCGUGAGUGAAGAAGGUUUUCGGAUCGUAAAACUCUGUUGGUAGAGAAGAACGUUGGUGAGAGUGGAAAGCUCAUCGAGUGACGGUAACUACCCAGAAAGGGACGGCUAACUACGUGCCAA